CGCAAGCAGACGAACCAACAGAAAUUAUGGGGUGGAAAUGCGAAUGACGCUGACGAGGCGUAGGCAGACAGCGACAACGAAAGUCAACGUCGAGCUAGCGUUAGCAUUUGGGCAGGCACUGCUUGGAUAGUUGGUGCCAACUACAUGAAUAAGAGUAGGGCCCAACGAGGCACAGAAGCGAGGAGUCGGAGAAGUGCAACAACCAACAUCAAUAGGCGGCGAAUGGAUGAUGGAAGAGAAGGAAAAGAGGUUUGAAAUUGGCUGGAAUGAAGGGCAAACGGCUGGGUUAGAAAUUGGAGUGCUUUGAGGGAAUAAGCGCGCUGCCAGAGGUUAAAAAAUGGAGAAUGGGGGGAUGAUUGGCUAAACGGCAAACAAUUAGAAGACAGCAACAGUGGAGAAAUAGGACACGUUUGAGGUUCACACAAGUGAACGCAUACACAUGAGUUUGUAAAGGAAGUAAAGGAAAGGAGGGUAUUUAAGCUGUUGGACUCGAGUACGGUCAGACCUGCAACGCUACAUACGGACACAGAUGCUCAUAUAAACUCACAUACUUAUGGGACGCAAGGUUCGUUAAUACAUAUUGCACGAAUAUAUCUACUUAAGUACACAUACAGAAAUUGUGGCUAUGCACGCCAGCGGGUGGUACGAGCAUGCAUGUAGUUCUGCGAAGGACAGCGAUAGUUGGGUCAACAUUAGGAACGACAAUCAAGCGAGUGUUCAAAGCAGAGUAAUAUGUAGCGGUGAAACGAAUUCACAAACGGACGCUUAGUGGGCAACCCUCUUGGAUGUGUAUGGCGAAAAUUGCAUCUGUGUGCAUUUUAUUUUAUCGUCGGCUGCUGCUGUGGAUGCCACACUUUUUAAUGGCCAGUCGACAGACAGCAGCGGCUUGAAUGCAUCGCCAUUGGGGAGGAUUGACAAUGGCUUUUUUAUGGGUUUGUAUGUAUGUAUGUAUGCAUGUGGGUUGCAGCUGUCACAGAAAAGCCGUAAAGCAAAGCAGACAGUCAAAAGUAACUUUGCACAUGGACACAACCGCAUACAUACAAAUGCAUUACAGUGUUGCGAUGUUUGCUGUGGCCAGGGAAGAGAAGGUAGCGACGCAGAAGCAACAAGCUAUUUCCGCCAAAGCGUUGGCGUUGGAGUGGUAGAAUGUAGUAGAAUAUCUGUGCCCAUACAUAUGUAUUUACAAGAGGGCGAAUAUGAGACGAAACAGAGGUGGAAAAUAUGCGCAUUGCACGCAACCGGGCUUAACUCCAGGCUAUUCUAGAUACAUACAAACGUGUGUUUUUAUGUACUUGUGUAUGGCUGGGUUGGCUGGCGCGUUUGAAAUGGGCAAACAACCGACAGCCGACAGGUAGAAUAGCGCGCCACGCAGCACAGCGACUUAGCAGGCGAACAAAUUAAGGUGUUAAAUAAAUUUUGGUAUUUCUAAGAACCCAAUUUUGUGAAAAUUUGUAGCAAACGCUGUU